AUGGAGUUGAUGAAAAGCUUGGAGCGGUCGGUCUGUGAGGAUGGAUUCGAUCCAGUUGCAGGUCACAUGACGCUUUCCAUUCAGCCGUACGGGGGCUCACGGGAAGCGUCUUCCAUGUGAGGCGAGAGACGGAGAUGUGUGAUACAUGCCAAAGGUCAGCCGUCAGAUGUAAAGCUGCAGCAGCAUGCAGAGCGUAUUCUGAACGUGUGCAGAGCGCGCUCUGAGGGUUUAACGCCGCUGUGGUGGAUGUGCAUGUGGUGACAGAUGUGACAGUUUUCCUGAAAGAAGCGGCUGCGGAUUUACACUUAUUAACCCGCCGAGUCUGCAGAGGGUGUGAGCGUGAAGCAGGACUGCGUGCUGGAUCAGA
rnacentral:lncRNA from 15 species